UUUUCUCAGAUUAAACAAUCUAAAACAAAGUACAACAUUCAGGCAUAUCCCUUACACAAGUACAUAUUCCCACAUAGGCUUACAACAAAUGUCUUCAAGAAUACGGAAUAAACAAAUGCCUUUAGACAAUAUCUAUACUACUAGGGUGGAUCAAAAGGCACCAUCCUCAAACAUGGAGGACUCACCAACUACUUAGAGGAAGAAGUCAAAGUAUCCUUGCAACGAGAAUUAGAAGCUCUUCAUUGACCAGAACCUACAUUGUUUGGGAAAAAGUGAAGAAAUAUGAGUUAGUACGAAACACAUUUACUAAGUAUGGUUAUACAUAAAAUCAUCAAUGUACGAAAAAAGACACAAUGUAGUCAAAACCAUGCAUUAUGUUCAGUAACUCCACAUGCACAUAUAUGGAACAUUAUAAGUCAACCAAAUCAUGAUAUCAACCUAACACAAAGGCAACCCAAAGAAACACUUUUGCAAUGCCAAUAAUAGAACCUCAUUAAGCACCACAUCAAGUCACCUACUACAUGCAUACAACAUAACCUCAUACUUUGUCAUUACAUGAUUGAUUCAUAAGAUCAUGUAUUACAUGACAUACACAACAUGAAAUAAACUUAAUCAUACAAGAACACUACCAAGAACAUCCCUAAGGAUCCCAUAUGUGCAAUGAAUAAGAGAAGUCACAUACUCUCCCUCAUCCUAUGUAGUAACCUUUAGGGCAAGCCCUAAUAAUAGUUCACAUUCUUGGAUUUUUCAUUUAAAUUUGUACAUUAGGGAAAGAAGUGCAAUAAACAACAUGAGACCAUGUGAGAUACAUGGAAUACGGUGUGCUCCUUCCACACCGAAAAGAGUGGGUUAACACUUGCCUAAGGUGUAACCAUUCGUACAUAGCUAUCUAGGUGAAUCCACUUAGGUAUAUUCCUAUGUGGGCACAUAGUUAAGGGUCAAGGAUAUUUUUACUAGAAACCUGGACUCGCCAAACAUGGAGGUUUCCAUCUCAUGAGAGAACACAUACCUUGGGAAUCCGUACUUACUAAACGUGAAGAAACCCAUGUGGAUGGCAGGACUUACUAAACAUGAGACCUCCAUCUCAUUUACAUUACUUUUUGGUGCUAAACAUUUAUUCCCUUUAGUAAUCAUCAUACUCUUCAUGCAAGAUCGUAUUAGUCUCUUCCAAACCCCUAUGAUAACAUAUCAUCAUAAUAACUCAUAGGUAUUCCUAAGUGAGAACUACCCUUUCACUUUUGAAAAUCACAUACAAGUGACUAAACCUCUCACUCAACACUUUAUCAUAAUAAUGAGAAGUCACUUUCAAUCAUAUAAUAAUCAUAUAUUAACAUUAUUGCAUACUUCAUAACCAAUUCAAUAGUCUAGGGUUAAGGAUGAGGAAUACUUACUAUCGACAUCACAACCACACAUUAGACAUAAAAGUAUUACUAUCUAAGUCAAUUCACAAUUGAAUUCAGGAAGAAUCAAUCAUCAUACCUUAUUGUUGUUUCUUUGCCUUCAUACUUCAAUUACCAAGAAUACAUUACAAAAUCAUAAACUAGGUAAAUUCAGAAAGUAAUACUUAAAAAUUACUAUUCUUCAUAUUCAUAUAGUCAUUAUCUUCCACAAUAACCACAGAACUUCAAGGCAUAAUGAGUGCAGGGAAAAACAAGGGUUCAAAGAGACAAUCUUGAGUGACUACCAAAAAUUGACCAUCAAUACUUACUUAAACAAUGAUAAAAGAAUAUAAUAUAUCACAAUUAAAUAACAAUCAUUUAGAAACGAGAAUCCAUAUCUAUUUUGAAACACUAGUUUUGGGGAAGUUGAAAAUCAUCUUUGAAAGGACAUCUUGGGGGAAAAAAUCCCAAGAGUGAAAGAAAUCAUACCUUAGUGAUGAUAUUUCCACGAAUUUGUGAUUAAAACCUUGGUGAAUCCAUCCUUGACUUGGAGCUCUAGUGUUCCUUCAAUGGAGGUUUGAGUUUGGGAAGAGAGAAGCUAGAGAGAAGUUAGAUAGAUGUGGG
rnacentral:lncRNA from 1 species